rnacentral:rRNA from 1 species
UAGGGAAUCUUCGGCAAUGGACGAAAGUCUGACCGAGCAACGCCGCGUGAGUGAAGAAGGUUUUCGGAUCGUAAAACUCUGUUGUUAGAGAAGAACAAGGACGUUAGUAACUGAACGUCCCCUGACGGUAUCUAACCAGAAAGCCACGGCUAACUACGUGCCAGCAGCCGCGGUAAUACGUAGGUGGCAAGCGUUGUCCGGAUUUAUUGGGCGUAAAGCGAGCGCAGUCGGUUUCUUUAGUCUGAUGUGAAAGCCCCCGGCUAAACCGGGGAGGGUGAUUGGAAAGUGGGAGACUAGAGUGCAGAAGAGGAGAGUGGAAUUCGAUGUGUAGCGGUGAAAUGCGUAGAUAUAUGGAGGAACACGAGUGGCGAAGGCGGCUCGCUGGUCUGUAACUGAAGCUGAGGCUAGAAAGCGUGGGGAGCAAACAGG